CCCGAAGCGGCGGCGGCGGCGGCCGCCAUGCGGAAGUCGUGCCGGGUUCAACGCUGCUGCAGCGCCGCCGGGCAGCCCCGGGGCUCCGAGCGCCGCUUCAGCUUCUCCGAGCCUGCCUCCAGCCGGACCUGGUAACACUGGAGCUCUCUGGCGCUGUCACCAUUAUGUGCCACAAGGAUGGGGACGUGGUGGUGUACUCUGCUGCCACCAGAGGGGACCGUGUGUGACAUCAGCGUGGAACAGCUGUCAUCGCUGCUGGGUGUUGCUUUUGUCAACAUGCAUGGGGUGUCACUGCUGGGGACACCUCUGUGUCACCCCUUCCAUGUCACACCCCAAAGUUGGAGGCACCCCUCUGCAGAUCCCCCGGUGUCCGUCCUUCUGACCGCAUUGUUCCCAUGCGGGGGUGGGUGGAGUUGAGGGGGGCACACACUUUAUUUUUGUAAAUAAGAUUUAUUUUGUGAUAAGGUGGACUGGGAGACGCCGCCCCCCCAGACCUCUGCAUGAAUAAAAGGCAGAGGAGCGGCUGUGGGGCUCUGCAUGUCACACCGGGGGGCACUCUGGGGACAGGUGACUGCAGCAUCCCAGCCCCAUAGCCCCUAUGACCCCAUCACCACUACAGUCCCAUCUCAUUGCCAUCCCAUAACCCGUAUCCAUAUGCUACAACCUUAUCCCAUCCCAUAUCCCAUCGUGUAUUCAUAGCCCAUCCUAUAUCCAUACCCUCAUAUCCAUCCCAUAACCAUAUUCCAAAUCCAUCCCAUGUCUGUAUCCUCAUAUCUCAUCCUCUAUCCAUAUCCCAUCCCAUAUCCCAUCCCCAGUCCAUCCCAUCCCUUAUCCAUACUCCCAAGUCCCACAUCCUAUCCCCAUCUCAUUCCCC
rnacentral:lncRNA from 1 species